UGGUGUGGCUCAGAGGUAGAGCACUUCCUUGGUAAGGAAGGGGUCACGGGUUCAAUUCCCGUCACC
rnacentral:tRNA from 1 species